CUCCCCUCACCCCUCUGUAUUUUUUUUCAAGACAGAGUUUCUCUGUGUAACAACUCUGGCUGUUGCUCUGUAGAUGGGGCUAGCCUCAGACUCACAGAGAUCAAUCUGCCCCCACCUCUCUUUAAUACGUGCUGGCAUUAAAGGUACGCAUUACCAUGCUUAGCCAAUUCUAUGUCUUCGUCAAAAAGUUAUAUACUAUUUACCUACCUAGAAAUGUUGAACAGUCAUUUACGGUCAAUCUCAUUGUUUUGAAGGGUAAUUUUUUUUUAACCAAAUAAUGUCCCAUUGUGACAGUUUCAUAAUUCUGUGGCACUGUGCUUGGCUCGUGCUCACCCAUCUCCUCCCCUUGGUAGCGCCUCUCCUUCCUCCUUCACUGCUCCCGUCUCCCAGUCAGUCUACCUUCUGCUCUGCGGGCAUUUGCUUUUGUAAGAAUCUGACUGUGUACAGCAAUGCUCUUCUUUAAUCCCAGCAUUCAGAGGCAGAGGCAAGUCAAUCUCUAGGACUUCAAGGCCAGCCUGGUCUACAUAGCAAAUUCAAAGCCAGAGGGAGCUACCUAGUGAGAGCUUGUCUCAAACAAACCUAGUUCUGCAUGUGAAAGAAAAUCUGUGAAACUUCUCCCAAUUAUGUGAAGACUCCGGUCAGAUGAAGCCACACCCGGAGUAUCACUGAAAGAUGGAACACGGUGAACAUUUGAGACGUCACUGGGAGACCCCCAUCUUGGAAGUCUAGGUUAUGAUAUUUUUCACACCGCUGCUCAUCACAAACCUCUGAACUCUUCAAGUCUCCUUUUCUUCGGGCCCCUUGCCUGAAGAAACUCAUACUAGACCUGCCAGGUACUUCUAAGGUUAAUUAUGCAUAGGUUUCUCUAAACCAUCGAUGCUAAGCCUCUAGGAACCCUCUCAACUCUCUUUUCUGGUUUGUUCUAGAAGACGCCUAUAGUCUUCCCUCAUCUGCUUCCUCCCGAGGCUCCUGCACAGCUCUGCUUGGGAAACCCUUUUUAAUACAUUCCCCGGCUCCUUAGAGGCGUUCUGAAUCCCCAAACCAUCAUCUGAAACUGUUCCUGAAAAUCCGUUGUCGAGCGCUCCUGAGCUCUUCAUCGGAUUCCUAGUUAAAGAAGCCACAGAGGAGUAAGCUGGGGCUUCCGAGUUGGUGAGUUGAGCUGAAGACCAGCUUGGGAAUUGUCCCUUUAGGUCCCUUUAGACACCACAAAGAGAGAGAGGAGGAGGAUAGUGACGCACCUGAAUAGGUCCGCUAGAGUAAGGAAAUAAACUAGGACUUGACGUGGAUUGAGUAGGAGGGCAACACUCACACACACACACAGAGGGGGGCACACACACACUCACACACGGAUGACAGACAGCAGAACAGAGAGGCAGGCAGCACCAGCUGUCUGACAACCGCCAAGCUCGGAUUCGGACACCGUCUCUAAGCGGGUACCGCAGUGCCCUCCCUGACACCUCCGCAGGUUACAGUUAGAGCAUCCCUCCGCCCAGCCCGGCUCCCCGCCCCCCACGAACUCGGGUCCCCAGUGUCCUCUAGAACGCCGGCGUGGCUGUCGCACUUCGAACCCCCUCGCCCACCCUUGCCCACCCUCUCGCCCUGGGCGCCGGCGGCCGCGUCUCUGGCCAGCCUCCGGCCCCGCAUCAAUCAUUAACGCGGCGGCCCGAGCGGUCGCAGCCCGAGAAGGGGGGGAUGGUAGGAGACGCAAGACAGGGGACACCUCCAUCCCCCCGCCGCGGCGCAGACACCCUAACCCCGGGGGCCCCCGCCCUGCGCGGCGCCGCCCUCCCCCGCCAGCGCCUCGCGCACAUCCC
rnacentral:lncRNA from 1 species